rnacentral:lncRNA from 1 species
AAAUAAAACAACUGAAGUAAUAUUCUCAUUGUCUUGUUAUAAUUUUCGAGUAAAAAAUCAUAAAUGUAAAGUUUAUCAAACUAGGUAAAGAAAACCAUAUAAAAACUUUAAGGUUUUCCUACCAUAAAUAAUUUAAUAACAGCUUAUUGGAUAUUCUAUAAAAAAUGAAUAUUAAUUUUUUUCUAGCAUAGUAACUUAUUCUUCUCCACAGGACAUUUUAGUAUCUCAAGAGUUUGAAACUCAUAGAUUCAAUGAAGAUUGACACGAUAAAUACAAAAAAUUUCAACGCACGAAACACUUAUAUCUUUAAAUAAAGGUUUGGGACAAUUUAAUAUGUUUUCCUGUAAUAAAAAACAUGAUAAAUAAUAUUAUGAAAAUUUGAUAAAAGAUUAUGUGUAGAAUAUAAAUUAAAUAAUAAAUCCAAAAAAUAAUAAAACAAUGACUUACCAACAACUUGUGUUGUGAUAAAAACUAAUGAAUAACAUAGAAUCAAAAAAAAAAAUAUUUUUUAGAAUUCUAACUAUAUUUUUUCCACUUUGCAUAUAAAAAAUAGAAUACAAUUUGUUCAUGCUCUCCUAUAAAUAAUUAAAUAGUAGUUUUUGCACUUUAAAUUUGUAAGAAUCCUUUAUAAAUUGAUAAUUAUUACUAGUGUGUUGUAUUUGUUCUUUACUUUAUCUAAUAACGAGAUUAAAAAAUAUACAUUUUUAACCUUUCGACAUUGUAAAAGAAGGAUUUUUUUUUGAACUAUGGUAAAGCUAUUUUUUACAAUAAUGCAUGAUUGGAUGAGAAGGUGUUUAUGCACAAGUAUUGUAAGAUCAAUAAUUUUGUUGAUAAAAUUAUUUAAUAAAAAAAAUUUAUUUAAUUUUGCAUGAUAUGACUUAUUCUAUAUUUUC